rnacentral:tRNA from 1 species
GCGAGGAUGGUGGAACCGGCAGACACGCGGGACUUAGGAUCCCGUGCCGAGAGGCGUGAGGGUUCGAAUCCCUCUCCUCGCACCA